GGGGGCCCGCACAAGCAGUGGAGUAUGUGGUUUAAUUCGAAGCAACGCGAAGAACCUUACCAGGUCUUGACAUCCACCGAAUCCUGUAGAGAUACGGGAGUGCCCUUCGGGGAGCGGUGAGACAGGUGGUGCAUGGUUGUCGUCAGCUCGUGUCGUGAGAUGUUGGGUUAAGUCCCGCAACGAGCGCAACCCUUGUGAAUAGUUGCUACGAAAGAGCACUCUAUUCAGACCGCCGUUGACAAAACGGAGGAGGGUGGGGAUGACGUCAAAUCAUCAUGCCCCUUAUGACCUGGGCUACACACGUACUACAAUGGUCGUUAACAGAGGGAAGCACGGCCGCGAGGUGGAGCGAACCCCUAAAAACGAUCUCAGUUCAGAUUGCAGGCUGAAACUCGCCUGCAUGAAGAUGGAAUUGCUAGUAAUCGCGGAUCAGCAUGCCGCGGUGAAUACGUUCCCGGGCCUUGUACACACCGCCCGUCACACCAUGAGAGCCGGGGACACCCGAAGUCGGUUGGGUAACCGUAAGGAGCCCGCCGCCGAAGGUGGAAUCGGUAAUUGGGGUGAAGUCGUAACAAGGUAACCAAGUCGUAACAAGGUAACCAAGCC
rnacentral:rRNA from 1 species